UGUCAUACUCCCGACCUGAAAAGGAUUUCUUCUCUUAUAUUUACCAGGGUGGUCAGGGCAGCUCUCUGGAAUCACACAGAGCCCAGUCUCCGGGGCCUCAAUCCCAGAAAGUCUUUUUACCCCUCUGUGCCAAUAACCUGGACAUUUUGGACAUUACCAGAAUCAGACGAGUCUCCAGUGUUUCAAUAGUGGUGUGUUUCAUCAGUGCAGAGGUCAGAGUCCAUGCACCCACGUCUGCACAGCCGCAUGGCCACGUUUUGGUAUGCAGAUACACAGAUGCAGGGACCAGUUAAGAUUCCCAUGUCCAACACAGGUGACAAGGAGAUGCCCAGCGAAAUAAAGCAGAAUUUGACAUGAAGGACUCAUCUCUGUCUCUGCUCUUUGAGUGACGGUAAGUACUAUGAGAAGUAUGACAGAGCCAUGUAGGAAUGAGCUACUCACAGAUGUAACAUUUUUACCUGUACAGAUGAAGUGAAAGCUGCGGUAAAUGCAGCGAAAGCUUUACAUUCAUUAAAUGACAAGGGAUACUGAAACAGUAUUUAUUAAGCCAUUAGAAUGAACUGAACACGGCUCAUUUACUGCUUUACAUCUUCCUGGAGUCUUUAUUUAAAGACAGGUCAUUUAAUUAAUUAGCGUGGCGAAUGGGUAUUUUUACAUGUCUAAUUUUACAGUAUGUCUAUGGAGUUAACUGUGCCUAAUUGUGUGUGUCCUGGAAUGUGUGCGCUCAUCGUAGUUGUCUUUUUGUCUGACUGUGCCUCCAUGUGUGCCCAUGUGCCAACGCAAGUGUGUGCCCAUAUGUGGGUGUAUGAGUGCUCCACUGUUACUCUGUGCCUGCGUGUGCGCCCAUGUGUGUUGUGUGCAGCCUAUUAGUGGAGUUUAACCCCUGUGUUCAGGGAGUCACAUCCCCUCAACCCACCGGGCUCCAUUCUUACUGCAGCACGUUAACAUUUUACUCUCUUCCCUCCCCACCCACCCCCUUCACUUUUGUCCUAAGAGGGCAAUUAAGGAAACAAACGUUUUCCCCAAGAUAAGCUGGCUGCCAGCUUUGCAUACUAAUGCAAUGCCAAGUGGUUACAAAUAGUGAGUGCUCUAAUUACUGCCACUGUUUUCAAUCAGAAAUUGCUCAAUUUCCCAGGAUGAGGUCUCCAUGGCUGGAGAAAAAAAAAAAAGCAAAACCUGACAGAGGCAAGAGACAAUCAUCUCUAUGUGGAGUGUGGCUGAUUUUGUCUGCGUGUGUGUGCUCAUGUGCCCGCAUGUGUGCACGCGUGUUGGUGCAAAUAAACUCAUCUGUCUCUCUGUGUGUAGACGCCGGCACGACCCUUUCUAUCACUGCUGCCCUUGACAAGUCAAGAAAUGGAUCCUGUCAGCCUCUACAGCAUUUAGCACCACAAUUAUCCCCUUUUCACAGCCGGGCUGCAUUAAUGUAAACCACACCAGGCAGUAGUUGCCACUCAGUGAUGAGCACAAUGUGGUGCACCAUCUCUGGGUGAGCAAUUUGGUUCAAUUGUGCUGCUGUGUGAUCAUCAGUGCAAAUCACGGCCUGCUUAUUUAUUAAGCAAUUUCUGUUGGAGAAAAUUAGAAGGAAGACUCUUUUAAUUUGGCAGGAGAUAGUAAAACCUCUAAAAGGAACAAUAAUGCAUAAUGUGGCUGACAUCAAACAAAAAAAAGCAAGCAGGUUUAACCCGCAGCAACCCAUCAGGGAGGUGUGUAGCAUUCGGAAAGGAAUAGCCACCGUCGUGUGGCCACCAGGAGUGGUGGGGCAGCGCGGACCAAAGUGACAAGGACUCGCUCCCCGGGUGUGAGAAUGAGUCACUCCGUAGGAUGCACGCAGGACCCAUCCGUUGGCCUUAGCUGACCUUUCGCUCCGACGGUGGCUAAUGGAGGGCUGGCCCUCGAUCAAUGCACUGAGAGACUGGGUUCAUCUCUGCCCUUUCACCGGGCCAGGAAGGGACGGAUGCUGCCAGAAGCCACGCCGCGGAGCCAUCGACCCUGCCACUCUCCCAUCCUGUGGGUGACAGCUGCGGUGCCAAUGGGCCUGGGGACGCCACGCUGCCCUGCCACGCAGGAAGGACAGCCAGCAACUCUAUCUCUGUGGUGGUGGGAGGGAAAGUCACUGAUGAUCUGCUUGUGAAUGUCAGAUCCAUGUAAACAACCCCAGCAAACACUUUGGUGUUGAGUAGAUGUUGAUAUGAAGGCCUGCACCAGUGUUGACAACUUGCAUUGCAAGAUGAAACUUAGUCCUCCAGAGCUGCUAGUUUUUAUUGCCCUUAUAUCCAGAUGUAAGAUGCAGUGCAUAUUAGGGUUGGUGUAAACAUAAGGACAGUUUUCAUCCAGUAAAUGCAUGCUUCAUAUCGUCAAAACAGAUUUCACUUACUUGCUUCAACAUAAGUUGAAUAGAGGUGAUUACACCUAGAUAUUACAAUAGUUUUCAAAAGCUGAAAAUGACUGUUCUGUUUCGUCAUUAAAGAAUUGAUCAAAUAAAGCCCGACUCCAAAUGUUGGAAGUUGUUUGCAUUACUUUUGCACUUAAAAUGUUACCGUAGGGAAUGUUUUCUCAUGCAGCUUUACAACCCAGAUGGCGCACCGCUGUAUACCUUUUAUCUGCCCUUUUUUUGUCAAUAAACAAUGCCUGCACAAAAAAAACAACACAAACAAUAUUUACUGUGCAUUUUAAUUGCAAAGACUUCAAUUACAACAUGUAAAGAUACUCAAAACAAUAGCAGAUAAAACACACACUCCAUAUGGGGAGAGAGGCGAAGACAUCCAAGAGGUUUAGCACCGAUUGUUCUUUUUAUUAUCAUUAACGGUAAUGUGAUUCUAAAGCCCCCCGUGACCUCCUCACAGCAGCAUCUCAUCUCAGAAGUCAUUCAUUAGAACAAACAGAAGGCAGGCAGAAAGACAGCGAGAAAGAGACAUGGGGAGAGAGCAUAGUGUAAAAUAAAUUAGAUUGUGCUUAUUAGAUGAACCACUUUAAGAUGGUAACAGAAAGCAUGCUUCAGAAAUUCAAAGGGUUUCUAAUUGUACAGUGCUUGGAGAUGGAGCCGUCAUGUGGAGACCGUGAUCCAGUUGUUGGUCUUGUGCUAUGUGUAAUCACAGUCACACUUACUGUCCAUUUUGGGUUGUAAGGCCCACAGGGAGCCUUGAAACAUGGUUCUGAGCAGUGCAUGUUUGGAUUGAGAUUGGGCUACAGUGUUUCUGUUCAAGACCAUGGGCUGAUGUGGGCUGUGGUGAAACUAAUCAGAAAGCUUCUUAUGUCUUCUUCCUCUGAUAUAAAUGGAUUGUACGGUCCUCCAUGAUUUGGCCCAGUGUUUACUGAAUAACAUUUCUUACACUGGAGUGACAGUAAAGGCCACCUCUCUCAAUUAAGCCCCCUUGGUUCCUUCUCCGUAAGAGCAGUCUGACGGCGUUUCUUUCUGGGCCCCCCCCCCGGUGCCUCUUAUCGUACCAGUCCUGUAAUGGUCGACCUCUAUACAUGUUCAUGUGUGAAUGUACACAUAUGUGAGGAUAAAAUAGGAUGCAGAGCGGUCAGAGGCUCAGUUGGGCCGGGGCGGCGGAGGAGGGGGAGGAGAGGGGAGGGGGGGUUGAAGAGAGCCGUGUGGAUCCUUGGAGUGGUGUGACAGACUCCCCAGCCUCCUGGUAGGAUUUGUUGGAAUGUGAGAGAGGAGGAUUUUAGCACCAGGCGAGCCACGCCAGAGUGCUGCAGACUUCAUGCCAUCUGUCUCAGCCUCCAUCCUCUCUUUGCCAAACUCAUCAGACCUUUAUUUCCUCUCCCUCUAUCUCCUUCUCAUCCCUGUUCACAAGAGUAGCGGACAUACUGAGAUCUGCUAAUGUAUUGGAGGGAAAAAAAAUGGCUGGGCUUAAUAAACGGAUUCAAAAAAAAAAAAAUCUCGAUUAAUAUGUAUUCCUGGAGCUAAUUGUCCGACAGCCCUCAUGGAGAUGAAAUGUGUGUUCGAUAGCCCUGCCAUUUGUUACUUGACCAACAGGGAAGGAGAGAUGGAGAUAUUCAUACCAUAGCAGAUCUGUUGAUCAGUUAAUAAUGAAAUAUGUUUCAAGUGAGAGCCAAAAAGUAAAUGCAUCAUUACAAACAAUUACCUCAUUAACUUUUGUAUUAUACUGUAUCAUGCAAUGAACAAUAUCUGAAUAAAAUAUAUCCUAUAAAUGAAUAAUGCUCUGU